rnacentral:tRNA from 1 species
GGAUAUUGUCAUUUAUGGCAAAGGUACGGGUUCAAGUCCCGUAAAGGACU